rfam:Citrus clementina cultivar Clemenules unplaced genomic scaffold scaffold_6, whole genome shotgun sequence.
GCAAUGGUUCCUUUCGGAACCAAAACACAUUUCAUACCAUAAUAUG